UACGGAGGGAGCGAGCGUUGUCCGAAGUUACUGGGCGUAAAGCGCGCGUAGGCGGGGAAUUAAGUGAGAAGUGAAAGGCUGGGGCUCAACCUCAUGCAGUGCUCCUCAUACUGGUUCUCUUGAGGGCGGUAGGGAGAAGUGGAAUGGCUGGUGUAGCGGUGAAAUGCGUAGAGAUGUGGGGGAACACCGAUGGCGAAGGCAGCCUCCUGGGCCAGCACUGACGCUCAUGCACGAAAGCGUGGGGAGCAAACAGG
rnacentral:rRNA from 1 species